rnacentral:rRNA from 1 species
CCUACGGGCGGCUGCAGUGGGGAAUAUUGGACAAUGGGCGCAAGCCUGAUCCAGCCAUGCCGCGUGAGUGAUGAAGGCCCUAGGGUUGUAAAGCCCUUUCAACGGUGAAGAUAAUGACGGUAACCGUAGAAGAAGCCCCGGCUAACUUCGUGCCAGCAGCCGCGGUAAUACGAAGGGGGCUAGCGUUGUUCGGAUUUACUGGGCGUAAAGCGCACGUAGGCGGAUUGUUAAGUUAGGGGUGAAAUCCCAGGGCUCAACCCUGGAACUGCCGUUAAUACUGGCAAUCUCGAGUCUGGAAGAGGUGAGUGGAAUUCCGAGUGUAGAGGUGAAAUUCGUAGAUAUUCGGAGGAACACCAGUGGCGAAGGCGGCUCACUGGUCCGGUACUGACGCUGAGGUGCGAAAGCGUGGGGAGCAAACAGGAUUAGAUACCCUUGUAGUC